rnacentral:rRNA from 1 species
UACAGAGGUGGCAAGCGUUGUUCGGAAUUACUGGGCGUAAAGGGCGCGUAGGCGGUUCGUUAAGUCCUGUGUGAAAUCCCCCGGCUCAACUGGGGAACUGCACAGGAAACUAGCGGGCUUGAAUCCGGGAGAGGUGAGUGGAAUUCCGAGUGUAGAGGUGAAAUUCGUAGAUAUUCGGAAGAACACCAGUGGCGAAGGCGGCUCACUGGACCGGUAUUGACGCUGAGGUGCGAAAGCGUGGGGAGCAAACAGG